rnacentral:rRNA from 1 species
UACAGAGGGGGCGAGCGUUGUUCGGAAUUACUGGGCGUAAAGGGCGCGUAGGCGGAUAGUUUAGUCAGAGGUAAAAGCCCAGGGCUCAACCUUGGAACUGCCUUUGAUACUGGCUAUCUUGAGUUCGGGAGAGGUGAGUGGAAUGCCGAGUGUAGAGGUGAAAUUCGUAGAUAUUCGGAGGAACACCAGUGGCGAAGGCGACUGCCUGGACGAACAUUGACGCUGAGGUGCGAAAGCGUGGGGAGCAAACAGG